GGUGGUAGCUCAGCUGAGGAACAUCUGCUUUGCAUGCAGAAGGCUCCAGGUUUAAUGCCUGGCCUCUCCA